rnacentral:pre_miRNA from 1 species
UACGUACUCCCUCCGUCCAACAAAUGAUGUCUCAACUUUGAUCAAAUUUAAAUGCAUCUAUACACUAAAUCAUGUUUAGAUACAUCCAAAUUUUGACAAACUUGAAACAUCUUUUGUUGGACGGAGGGAUUACCAA